rnacentral:rRNA from 1 species
GACGAACGCUGGCGGCGCGCCUAACACAUGCAAGUCGAACGGAGAUUACAGGCGGAAGUUUUCGGAUGGAAGCUUGUAAACUUAGUGGCGGACGGGUGAGUAACACGUGAGCAACCUGCCUAUCAGAGGGGGAUAACGAUUGGAAACGAUCGCUAAUACCGCAUGACAUAGCGGAACCGCAUGGUUCUGUUAUCAAAGAUUUUAUCGCUGAUAGAUGGGCUCGCGUCCGAUUAGAUAGUUGGUGGGGUAACGGCCUACCAAGUCGACGAUCGGUAGCCGGACUGAGAGGUCGAACGGCCACAUUGGGACUGAGACACGGCCCAGACUCCUACGGGAGGCAGCAGUGGGGGAUAUUGCACAAUGGGGGAAACCCUGAUGCAGCGACGCCGCGUGAGGGAAGACGGUCCUCUGGAUUGUAAACCUCUGUCUUCGGGGACGAAACGAGACGGUACCCGAGGAGGAAGCCACGGCUAACUACGUGCCAGCAGCCGCGGUAAUACGUAGGUGGCAAGCGUUGUCCGGAAUUACUGGGUGUAAAGGGAGCGUAGGCGGGCAGGCAAGUCAGGCGUGAAAUAUAUCGGCUCAACCGGUAACGGCGCUUGAAACUGCAGGUCUUGAGUGAAGUAGAGGUUGGCGGAAUUCCUAGUGUAGCGGUGAAAUGCGUAGAUAUUAGGAGGAACACCAGUGGCGAAGGCGGCCAACUGGGCUUUUACUGACGCUGAGGCUCGAAAGUGUGGGGAGCAAACAGGAUUAGAUACCCUGGUAGUCCACACCGUAAACGAUGAUUACUAGGUGUGGGGGGACUGACCCCUUCCGUGCCGGAGUUAACACAAUAAGUAAUCCACCUGGGGAGUACGGCCGCAAGGUUGCAACUCAAAUGAAUUGACGG